rnacentral:rRNA from 1 species
AGAGUUUGAUCAUGGCUCAGAUUGAACGCUGGCGGCAGGCCUAACACAUGCAAGUCGAGCGGUUGAGGUAGCUUGCUACCGAUACAGCGGCGGACGGGUGAGUAAUACAUGGGAAUCUGCCUGGUAGUGGGGGACAACGUUUCGAAAGGAACGCUAAUACCGCAUACGCCCUACGGGGGAAAGGGGGGGAUCGCAAGACCUCUCGCUAUCAGAUGAGCCCAUGUCAGAUUAGCUUGUUGGUGAGGUAAAGGCUCACCAAGGCGACGAUCUGUAACUGGUCUGAGAGGAUGAUCAGUCACACUGGAACUGAGACACGGUCCAGACUCCUACGGGAGGCAGCAGUGGGGAAUAUUGCACAAUGGGCGAAAGCCUGAUGCAGCGACGCCGCGUGAGGGAUGACGGCCUUCGGGUUGUAAACCUCUUUCAGUAGGGAAGAAGCGAAAGUGACGGUACCUGCAGAAGAAGCGCCGGCUAACUACGUGCCAGCAGCCGCGGUAAUACGUAGGGCGCAAGCGUUAUCCGGAAUUAUUGGGCGUAAAGAGCUCGUAGGCGGUUUGUCGCGUCUGCCGUGAAAGUCCGGGGCUCAACUCCGGAUCUGCGGUGGGUACGGGCAGACUAGAGUGAUGUAGGGGAGACUGGAAUUCCUGGUGUAGCGGUGAAAUGCGCAGAUAUCAGGAGGAACACCGAUGGCGAAGGCAGGUCUCUGGGCAUUAACUGACGCUGAGGAGCGAAAGCAUGGGGAGCGAACAGGAUUAGAUACCCUGGUAGUCCAUGCCGUAAACGUUGGGCACUAGGUGUGGGGGACAUUCCACGUUUUCCGCGCCGUAGCUAACGCAUUAAGUGCCCCGCCUGGGGAGUACGGCCGCAAGGCUAAAACUCAAAUGAAUUGACGG